rnacentral:rRNA from 1 species
CACGAGCGCACCCACAUCUUUAGUUGCCAGCAGUUUGGCUGGGCACUCUAGAGAAACUGCCCGUGAUAAGCGGGAGGAAGGUGUGGAUGACGUCAAGUCCUCAUGGCCCUUACGGGUUGGGCUACACACGUGCUACAAUGGCAUCUACAGUGAGUUAAUCUCCAAAAGAUGUCUCAGUUCGGAUUGGGGUCUGCAACUCGACCCCAUGAAGUCGGAAUCGCUAGUAAUCGCGUAACAGCAUGACGCGGUGAAUACGUUCCCGGGCCUU